rnacentral:lncRNA from 1 species
GUCUUUGGAAAUAUUGGGCAGGGAGAAAGGGUGCUUUUAGAACCGAGCUGUUCAGGGUCCCAGAUCCUCUAAUGUAAUGCCAGCUGAACCCAGACAGUGACUUCCACCUCCAUGAAUGCAGGUGAUUGCAUCCUUUGAAAGCCUGUUUGCAUAGCAGACAAUGAAGCUGAGCAGAGAAAAACAAGAUGAGAGACAGAUGGAGUAGGAGACCUGAGAAGAUGGCUUGAGUCCAUGAAUUCUGGUGUUCCCUAGGCCACAUUUGCCCCCAUCCUUCCCAGGUGAGAGAACCUUUGUGGGAGCGCAGAAGUCCAGCAGAGAGACCCUAGCACUUUAUUUGGACCAAAAAAUAAAUAAUAAAUAAAUAAAUAAAUAAAUCCAAAACUAGAUGCAUUAAAGAAGGUUAGACUUCUCCUAUGGAGAAUGCAGCAAGAAAAUACCAUCUUGAAGCAGAGAGCAGCGCUCAUCAGGCAUCAGUCCUUCUGGAGCCUUGAUCUUGGACCUCCCAGCUCCAAAAUAAUAAGUAAUAAAUUGUUAUUGCUUAUAAAUUA